rnacentral:ncRNA from 1 species
ACUUUAGGGGUGCUUGUUUAUUCAGGCUGAGAAAUACCCUUAUUACUUGAUCCAGAUAAUGCUGGCGAAGGAAAAAGGAAG